rnacentral:rRNA from 1 species
CCUACGGGAGGCAGCAGUGAGGAAUAUUGGUCAAUGGGCGGAAGCCUGAACCAGCCAAGUAGCGUGCGGGAUGAAGGCCCUACGGGUCGUAAACCUCUUUUGCACGGGGAUAACACCCUCCACUUGUGGAGGUCUGCAGGUACCGUACGAAUAAGGGCCGGCUAAUUCCGUGCCAGCAGCCGCGGUAAUACGGAAGGCCCGAGCGUUAUCCGGAUUCAUUGGGUUUAAAGGGAGCGUAGGCGGGCGUUAAAGUCAGCUGUAAAAUCGGGCGGCUCAACCGCACACUGCAGUUGAAACUGGAAGCCUUGAGUUCACAACAGGCAGGCGGAAUUCGUGGUGGAGCGGUGAAAUGCAUAGAUAUCACGAGGAACCCCGAUUGCGAAGGCAGCCUGCCGGGGUGCGACUGACGCUGAGGCUCGAAGGUGCGGGUAUCAAACAGGAUUAGAUACCCUUGUAGUC